ACGACUCUCGGCAACGGAUAUCUC
rnacentral:ncRNA from 4 species